rnacentral:rRNA from 1 species
UUAAAUUGAAGAGUUUGAUCAUGGCUCAGAUUGAACGCUGGCGGCAGGCCUAACACAUGCAAGUCGAACGGUAACAGGAAGCAGCGAGCUGAAAAGCUGACGAGUGGCGGACGGGUGAGUAAUGUCUGGGAAACUGCCAGAAGGAGGGGGAUAAGUAACGGAAACGGUGGCUAAUACCGCAU